rnacentral:rRNA from 1 species
UACAACUUUCAGCGGUGGAUGUCUAGGUUCCCACAACGAUGAAGAACGCAGCGAAAUGCGAUACGUAAUGCGAAUUGCAAGACCUCGUGAAUCAUUAAGAUUUUGAGCACAUUGCGCUUUCGGGAUUUUCCCGGUAGCAUGCUUGUCUGAGUGUCUGUG